rnacentral:rRNA from 1 species
UACGUAGGGCGCAAGCGUUGUCCGGAAUUAUUGGGCGUAAAGAGCUCGUAGGCGGCCUGUCGCGUCUGCUGUGAAAUCCCGGGGCUUAACCCCGGGCGUGCAGUGGAUACGGGCUGGCUGGAGGCAGGCAGGGGAGAACGGAAUUCCCGGUGUAGCGGUGAAAUGCGCAGAUAUCAGGAGGAACACCGAUGGCGAAGGCAGGUCUCUGGGCUGACACUGACGCUCAUGCACGAAAGCGUGGGUAGCGAACAGG